UACGAAGGGGGCUAGCGUUAUUCGGAAUUACUGGGCGUAAAGGGCGCGUAGGCGGUCCUGAUCGUCGGAUGUGAAAGGCCUGGGCUCAACCUGGGAACUGCAUCCGAUACGGCGGGACUGGAGUGUGGGAGAGGUUGGUGGAAUUCCCAGUGUAGAGGUGAAAUUCGUAGAUAUUGGGAAGAACACCGGUGGCGAAGGCGGCUUCCUGGACCGACACUGACGCUGAGGCGCGAAAGCUAGGGGAGCAAACGGG
rnacentral:rRNA from 1 species